GGGAGCUCGUGCAAAAGAAAUGGAUAAUUGCUUGAGAGAGGGGAAUUCACAGGGAAACUAUUGUUCAGAUGGAAAAAUCUCAUUAGAUAUUGAAAUCUUAAGAAUAGUGGAAAAGUGUUGCAUUCAACUUGGAGUGAAUUUAUGAGAGUUGUUCUCAGUACCCCAGUAAUGAGUUAAAGACUAUGAUUUUGAAUGAGACCUAAUUUGUGAAGAAAUUGGUUAUUUGAAGCAAAACAAAAGAAACUGUAUUCAAAGUGGCUAUAAACAAGAGAUUUUAAUAGAGUUAAAAGAAUUUUAGUAUCAGAACCCUGGUAUAUUCCAGCUAGAGACACGAUAAAUUAUUAAGAAACAACACACCCAAGAACUUAGCUUCGGCUACAACUGGGAGUUCUGUAUUAUCAUAUUGUGGGGUAUUGUAUGUGUAGGCACAUAACAAUAUGUGAAGGAGAAAUACUUAUAAUUUGACCUGAAAGGGCUUAUGUCUAACGCAAGAUAGUUGAAAUAGGUGACCAGGGUAGAUACUCAGUACAGGGUAGACUAAAUGCACAGGGGCGGAUACCUUAGCAGUCUUUGUUUAUAAAAUUAAAUUUUCCUGAAGGUACAAAA